rnacentral:rRNA from 1 species
UUAGAGUUUGAUCCUGGCUCAGGAUGAACGCUAGCGGGAGGCCUAACACAUGCAAGUCGAGCGGGAUUUCCCUUCGGGGAUUGAGAGCGGCGCACGGGUGAGUAACGCGUAUGCAACCUGCCUUCAACAAGGGGAUAACUCGUUGAAAGACGGACUAAUACCCUAUAACACAGGGCUCCCGCAUGGGAAUAUUUGUUAAAGAUUUAUCGGUUGAAGAUGGGCAUGCGUUCCAUUAGUUAGUUGGGGGGGUAACGGCCCACCAAGGCAACGAUGGAUAGGGGAACUGAGAGGUUUAUCCCCCACACUGGUACUGAGACACGGACCAGACUCCUACGGGAGGCAGCAGUGAGGAAUAUUGGUCAAUGGACGCAAGUCUGAACCAGCCAUCCCGCGUGAAGGAUGACGGCCCUAUGGGCUGUAAACUUCUUUUGUACGAGAAGCACGUGCGCUAUGUAUAGCGUAUUGACGGUACCGUACGAAUAAGCAUCGGCUAACUCCGUGCCAGCAGCCGCGGUAAUACGGAGGAUGCGAGCGUUAUCCGGAUUCAUUGGGUUUAAAGGGUGCGUAGGCGGCCCGGUAAGUCAGCGGUGAAAGUUUGCGGCUCAACCGUAAAAUUGCCGUUGAUACUGUCGGGCUUGAGUUCAGAUGAAGUGGGCGGAAUGAGUAGUGUAGCGGUGAAAUGCUUAGAUAUUACUGAGAACACCGAUUGCGAAGGCAGCCCACUAAACUGCGACUGACGCUGAUGCACGAAAGCGUGGGGAUCGAACAAGAUUAGAUACCCUGGUAGUCCACGCCGUAAA